rnacentral:lncRNA from 10 species
AAACCCCAUCUCUACUAAAAAUACAAAUAAUAAUAAUAAUACAAUGAAUCAUUUGCCUCUUUUUUUUUAAGAGACGAGGUCUCACUGUGUUUCCCAGGCCAGAGUAGAGUGCCCUGGCCAUUCCCAGGCACAAUUCGAUGCACCCCUACUUCCGGCCACAUCAUUUGGCUUUUGAGCCCCUGCAUAGCUGUGAUCCUGGAACCCAUUUUCUCUGCAUUCCUGUGUAGUUCCACUCCUUGGAUCUCAGUCUUCUCUUUUUCUUGUCUUCUGGUUUUAUUAAGUAGAUUCUUUUUUUUUUUUUUUUUUUGAGACAGUCUCACUCUGUUGCCCAGGCUGGAGAGUGCAGUGGCACGAUCUCAGCUCACUACAAUCUCUGCUUCUUGGGUUCAAGCGAUUCUCCUGCCUCAGCUUCCCAAGUAACUGGGAUUACAGGUACACCACCACGCCCAGCUAAUUUUUGUAUUUUCAGUAGACAUGGGGUGUUGCCAUUUAGCCAGGCUGGUCUCAAACUCCUAACCUGCCUCAGCCUCCUGAGUAGCUGGGAUUACAGGCACACGCCACCACGCCCAGCUAAUUUUUGUAUUUUCAGUAGAGAAAAAGCCAGGCUGGUCUCGAACUUCUGACCUCAGGUGAUCCACCCACCUCGGCCUCCCAAAGUGCUGAUUAUAGGCGUGAGCCACUGUGCCGGGCCUCAUUAGGUAGAUUCUUAAAUGAUCUUCUCAGAAAGAAUGCCUGGGAGACAAAUUUCCUGAAUCCUGGCUGGACUGUUUUUAUUUUACACUUGUGUUUGAUUGUUGGUCUACAUAAAAACUCUAGGCUCAAAAUCACUUUCCCUCAGAACUUUGAAGGGAUUGCACUGCCAUAGUCUUCUAUUUUCUAGCUCUAAAGUCUGAUGCCAUUUUGUUAACUAACCUGUAGUUCUUUCAUGUCACUUUUGGAAUCUUCUGUUCCUGGACUUUUGGUAUCUCACAAGAGUGUCUCGGUGUGUGUCCACUUUCAUUUGGCCUCUGCCAGCCACCCACUGAGCCUUCAGACUGGAAGACUCCGGACUUCUGUUCCAGGAAGUGUUCUUUUUUGACAUUCUACAUUGCCUCUUCCCCUUCAACUUCUUUGCUGUCACUUUCCUUAGCACUAAUCUUUCUAAGUAAACCAACUGGAAGGUCUAAUGAGAAGAAGGGCUGGCCUCACCCCUCCCCACUCAUAGUUCACUGUCCAUCUUUGUUUCUGGUUAGCUUUUCUCUUGGUGGCCUCUAUUAUCAGAUUAUUGUUUCUUGGUUUUCUUUUUAAUAAAAGAUUGUUUUAUGUUUUUAUAUUAUUUCUUAUUUUUCUUUUUAAUAAAAA